UCAACUGGGAAUGUGCUUCUGAGAAUGAAGCCAUUGUUGAACAGCGGUGACUGCCGUGUUGCAACAGCGGCGUUUCUGUGGCGCUCAACUACAGGCUGCAUUCUUUGUGUUGUGGGACCUGAGCUGAAACAGUCAGCUCACAAAAACGAUCGCAGGAGGGAAGGCACGCACUUCACUUGCUUUAAUAAACUGCCGUUGUAGAGAGAUUAGAAAUUAUUUCCCCGUAAGUCUGAACUUACAUAAGAGUUACUGGGAACGGUGACUUCUGACCCCGCUGGAGAGCAUUGUCUCUGAGCAGGAAGUAACUAGGGAAUAAGUGUCCUGGUGUUAUGAUUGAAGGUGGAGCUCUGACCCAAGACACGCUGAAACAGACAUGCCUCGUAAGGAGAGGAGGUGGAAGCGGCGACAGAAAGAGCUACUUGAGGCAGCCUAAGGCAGUGGGUCCCUCACCAGCUGGAUAAAAAAAGAGUACAGGCUCAAGGAACAAGUACAUUCUAGGAGGAGCUCAUGCCAAAAGUUCAGAUCAGCCAUCCACCAGCAGUUCAAGAGCUCAAGAUCAGUUGUCAGCCAUCACGUCUGACCCUUCUACAACAUCACCCAGCCCUGACCAGGAUCAGACCGAGCACAGCCCACAGCCAGCGCUUCUGAAGGCAGAGUGAGUCCUGGCUCUGAAAAAGCAUCUGAAAAUUACAUUGGAGAAACACGUGUGCCACAACCGGUGCUUGUGGUGUGUGGACCUGUUACGUAGUUCUAAAUAACAACAAUAUGGAGUUCCUGUGUUGUGUAUGUUGUAUUAUGUAAAUAUCAGUCCUACUUUUUGGAAAUAAUAAGCAGUUUGUGCAUACAAGAGAAUUAAAGAGAAUUUAAGGUGAAGCGCUUGCA